ensembl:lncRNA
AUGUUCUUGUUGCUUCCUUUCCACACAACCCUUUCCUCCCCUUCACUUUUCCCCCCUCUCAGUGAAGAAAAGCUCUCGUCGAAUCUGUUUCUCUCCCCCCUUCACCUCCUCCUCCUUUCCGUGUUUCAGUAUCUUCUUCUUGAGGGGGACGUUUCUUGUGGUUGUUGCUGCUUCCUUUCCUUUCCACAAAACCCCUUCCUCCCCUUCACUUCGCGAAGGGGACAAAAAGGGUCUCUUCUUCUGCCUCCUCUCCGUGUUUCAGUCUCUUAUUCUUGUUGUGUUUACCGUUUAUUGUAUCCUUUCCACAACUCACUCCAGUUGUGUAGAAGGGGUGAGAAGCUCUCGUCCAGUCUCAAUUUCUGCGUGUUUCAGUCUCUUCUUCUUGGGGGGACGUUUCUUGUGAUUGUUGCUGCUUCUUUUCCACAAGACCCCUUCCUCCCCUUCACUUUUCCCCUCUCAGUCGAGAAGGGGACAAAAAAAGGAUAUCUUCUUCUGCCUGAUUAUAUCCUUCUUCUCUUCCUCCUCCUUUCCGUGUUUCAGUAUCUUCUUUUUCUUGUGUUCGUCGUAGUUUGUUGUAUCCUUUCCACAACUCACUCCAGUUGUGAAGAAGGGGAGAAAAUGUCUCGUCGGGUCUCAAAUCUCUCAGACUUUCCUCUGCGUGCUUCAGUCCCUUCUCCUCCUCCUCCUCCUCCUCUCCGUGUUUCAGCCUCUUCCUUCUUGGGUUUGUCGUUGUUUGUUGUAUCCUUUCCACAACUCACUCCAGUUGUGAAGAAGGGGAGAAAAGGUCUCGUCGGGUCUCAAAUCUCUCAGACUUUCCUCUGCGUGCUUCAGUCCCUUCUCCUCCUCCUCCUUUCCGUGUUUCAGCCUCUUCCUCCUUGUGUUUGUCGUUGUUUGUUGUAUCCUUUCCACAACUCACUCCCGUUGUGAAGAAGGAGAGAAAAGGUCUCGUCGAGUUUCAGAUCUCGUUUCAGCCUCUUCCUUCUUGCGUUUGUCGUUUUGUUGUAUCCUUCCCACAACUCACUCCAGUUGUGAAGAGGAGGGGAAAAGGUCUCGACAAGUCUCAAUCUCUUCUUUGCGGUGUUGUUUUUUCCCCCCCUUGUUGUAUCCUUUCCAGUUGCGAAGGGGUCUCGUCGAGCCUCUCCUCUGCUUCCUCCUCCUCCUUUCUCUUUCCGCCCUGACAAAAUAUGCGGUUUCAGGUGCCUCAAACGCCGCCCAGCCCGGGCUGAGGAGUCAUUUCCUGCCCCUCAGGAAACCCAACAGAGGCCUGCUUGCUUUCCCCGGCCUCUUUGAGGGCCCAAACUCUCCUUCCUUCCUUCCCUCACGAGGCCGGGCCUUGGAUGCUGGCGUCGCCUCCUUCGAAGGGAAACCGAGAUGGAGGCGCAACAAGCCCCUUCCUUCCUUCCCUUCUCUCCUUCCUCCUCCUCCUUUUCCUUUCUUCCCUCGCUUCCUCUGCCUCACACUCGGCUCCUCCUCCUCACACUUCCCCCUUCCUUCCUUCUAUCCCCAUUAUUCCCGCCCUCAGCAGCUCUCUCUGUCUCUCUGUGUGAGGUGUUUCUCUCAAAGAGGAAGGAAGCAGCAACAGCGGCCCACACUCCAGGCGGCGGGCGUUACUACUACUACUACUACGCCGCUUUUGCGCCUCCGCCCAGGCCAAAGAGAGAGAGAGAGAGAGAGAGAGAGAGAGAGAGAGAGAGAGAGAGAGAGAGAGACUGCAGCGCCGCCCAGGACGGAGAGGCCUUUCCUCCCUCCUUCUCUCCUCUGCCUCCCUUUUCAGACUUUUUUUUCCCCCUCAGAGCCAGACAACAAGUCUGGCAAUGGGCGAAGCGCCUCAGCCAAUCCGGACAGAGGAGCUUCCCGCCUCAGCCAAUCAGGGGGCGCGCUCAAGGUUUGGCCGGGAAGGAAGGGAGGAAAGAGAAGCAGGGUAGGGUGUGAGGAAUAAGAAAAAAAUAAUAAUUUUAUAUGUAAGGUAGGUGGGAGGGAGGAAGCGAGAGGAAAGGCUUUUCGGUCUCUUAGGUUUGGGGAGGAAAUAGUAAUCAAAAGAAUUGGAAUACAGGACAAGUCAAAAGAGGAGUAUCAAUCCUUAAGGGAGAGGAUAAGAAAGGGAAGAGGGUUUCAAUGUUUGGAUAAAGGAGAGGGAAACAGAAAGAUGUGUAUCUGAUAUAGCAGGCCCUCUAGUGUUUUGGACUCCAACUCCCACAAUUCCCAACAGCCGUAGUUUUGGACCUCCCACCUCCCCACCAUUCCCAACAACGUGUAGUUUUGGACUCCCAACUCCCACAAUUCCCACCAGCCGGUAGUUUUGGACUCCCAACUCCCACAAUUCCCAACAGCCAGUAGUUUUGGACUCCAACUCCCACCAUUCCCAACAACCUGUAGUUUUGGACUCCAACUCCCACCAUUCCCAACAGCUGUCGUUUUGGACUCCAGCUCCCACAAUUCCCAACAGCUGGUAGUUUUGGACUCCAACUCCCACAAUUCCCAACAGCUGUAGUUUUGGACUCCAACUCCCACAAUUCCCAACAACUGUAGUUUUGGACUCCAACUCCCACCAUUCCCAACAACCUGUAGUUUUGGACUCCAACUCCAACCAUUCCCACCCCCUAGUAGUUUUGGACUCCCAACUCCCACCAUUCCCAACAACUGUAGUUUUGGACUCCAACUCCCACCAUUCCCAACAACCUGUAGUUUUGGACUCCAACUCCCACCAUUCCCAACAGCUGGUAGUCUUGGACUCCAACUCCCACCAUUCCCAACAGCUGUAGUUUU